GUAGGACCUCCGCCUACCAUUCGUACGCACACUGACUUUAUGAGUGCCAUCACAACAACAGCAGUUGAUUUCAGUCCAGUCAUUGACGAAAAGUUCAUUUCUUUAUUUUUUGUUUAGGUUUAUGUCUGCACUGCUGUAUUACAAGCAAACCACGACUCGCUUUAUGAACAAGUUAACAUUUUCACAACAUUGUUGUUGUGGACACUUCAGCGUGAAGUACUUGACUGUGUUUCUCACCAUACAUUACCAUUUCUGGCCUUUACAUCACUUCAAAAUCAAAGAAGAAACAUAGUAGAGGACAAAUUAACAGCCACUACAAAAAUUCCGCAGUAAAAACAAACGUGCUAAAGCUCAUAAUAUGUAAUUUAAGACUGCAACUGAGGACUGUUUAUAUGAUUAGUUAUUUACAAUAUCAAUUAAUCUACUUUCAUGUGCCUCAGUUGCUGACACACGCUGAAAAGUCUUAGGUCUAGGUCUUGCUAAAACGUUAUGUUUGUCAUAAUGUCAUUCAAUUCUCGCUAUAUGUUCAUGGUGUGGCACAUUUUUUUGUAACUGUCCUGAUAAUUCACAAAUGUCUCAGUCUUAAUUCAAAAUGAGAAAUGUCCAUUCAUUGACAACAGAAAUAAAUUUCAGUUGUAUCAUUCACUACUUGAAAGAAAGGGAUUUUUCAUCAAUGCUCUCAAUAUAGCCAUCUAAAUUUGACCAUCAGGCACAAAAAACCAUUACAAAACUUUACAAAAAGUCUAUUUUCAAAACUUGAUAAUGAUCUCAAUGAAAUAUGUAAAAAAAAACAAUUACAAAAGCAGCUCCUUAAGUGAGUCACCGGAAGUUUAGUGCCAUUGAGCAGUGUGUGGCAACUUCACAAUAGAAGUCUGAUAGUCGCCACUAUUAUUACCGAGUUCUCAAGAACACAUUACACAACUCACAAGGGACCAUAAAUCUGUCAAACAAAAAACUCAAGUAUGAAGCUUCACCAGACUGGUAGUCACUGCAGGGCUAUUGUAUCAAGUGUCUCUGUUAUUUCGUCCAGCCUCUGAAGUUCAGUGAGUGUCAACUUUGACUGAAAUGUUGUCAUUUUGUUAUGCAAGACUUUCCCAGUCUGAGAAACUAAAGGCUAUCUGUGUCGACAUCCUUGUCUUUAUCCAUCAUUCUUUGAAUUUGUGGGUUGUUAAGUGUAUUUACUGAAGAGGAUUUUUGCUCUUCUAAUGAACCGCAACACAGUUAUGACACAUCGGAAGAAGAGGAGGCCGUUUUCACAUAGAGAGCUUCUCCUAAUAAAGGACCAGUGUGUAGGAUUUAGCGGUAUCUAGCGGGGAUCACCUUCCCUCAUCGCUCCCUUUCCAAGUUUGUCUGAGAACCCUGUUCAGUCAAACAGUUCGCCCUCAAAUUUGCGUCUGAAUUUGUCGUCAGCUAAUUGGAAAUGGUGUUUGGCAAAGGCAGCCAAAAACAAAAAUAGAAGAGCUUCAACACAAAUGUGUACACUGUCAAUGAAUCUGCUGAUUAUGUUUAGGAUCGAUCAAUCAAUAAUAAAAACGACCUUCACUAUAUUCCGGCAUCCAAGGUGACAUAUUAUAUUUUUGGUUUAGCUGUCCAACAACCAAGGAUAUUCAAUUUACUAUAAGAGACUUAGAAAACUAGCAAUAUUCAUACAUGAGGAGCUGGAACAAUUAAUCCAUUAUCAAAAUUGUUGCUGAUUAUCUUUUCUGUAAAACAACAAACUAACAAAUUAACUAAUAUACGUUAUACAAAUUAAGCUGCCUAAUAAUUCCAUCUUAAAACAUUUUUUAAAGAAUCAUACUUACCUUUUUUUUUAUUAUUAUUUAUUGUCCCCGUCAAGACAAAUGGAGUAAACCACUUGAAAUUCUGUUGAGUGAAGGUACUGUAUGUUCCAAGACUGAAGUUUUAGUUGUUUGCGUUAUUACAAAUGUCAUUGAAAAGUGACAUUUAAAAGUUCAGGUUUUACUUUCGGCUCUCUAUUUCAUUGUUCUCACCUCCACAAACACACUGAAUCCAGUUUCAGUUGGAUCUGGAUCAAACCCUCUGUGGUUAAAGGGCCAAAGAGAAACUCCCUAAAC